CAGAAACUGAAGCUGCAGGUGUAAUAAAGUAAUGAUCAUUACCUCUGGGGAUUGUAUGAAAAUGAAAUGGUAUGAAGAAAAGAUAGGAGCACAAUAACAUACUGCAAUCAGGAAAAGAACCCAAACGUUUACUUAAUUAGGUUGCAUCAUUAAUUUUAGUGUCUCAUGAACUCCUAAGGCCUUUCACCCCUUGUAGAA